CACGUAGGGUGCGAGCGUUGUCCGGAAUUAUUGGGCGUAAAGAGCUCGUAGGCGGUGUGUCGCGUCGGCCGUGAAAACCUGCAGCUUAACUGUGGGCUUGCGGUCGAUACGGGCAUCACUGGAGUUCGGCAGGGGAGACUGGAAUUCCUGGUGUAGCGGUGAAAUGCGCAGAUAUCAGGAGGAACACCGGUGGCGAAGGCGGGUCUCUAGGCCGAUACUGACGCUGAGGAGCGAAAGCGUGGGGAGCGAACAGG
rnacentral:rRNA from 1 species